GCAAGUCGAGCGCCUUUCUUCGGAAAGGAGCGGCGGACGGGUUAGUAACGCGUGGGAAUAUACCCAGUUCUAAGGAAUAGCCACUGGAAACGGUGAGUAAUACCUUAUACGCCCUUCGGGGGAAAGAUUUAUCGGAAUUGGAUUAGCCCGCGUUAGAUUAGAUAGUUGGUGGGGUAACGGCCUACCAAGUCUACGAUCUAUAGCUGGUUUUAGAGGACGAUC
rnacentral:rRNA from 1 species